rnacentral:rRNA from 1 species
UACGUAGGGAGCGAGCGUUGUCCGGAAUCAUUGGGCGUAAAGCGCGCGUAGGCGGCCCGAUAAGUCCGUUGUGAAAGUCAAAGGCUCAACCUUUGAAUGCCGAUGGAUACUGUCGGGCUAGAGUCCGGAAGAGGCGAGUGGAAUUCCUGGUGUAGCGGUGGAAUGCGCAGAUAUCAGGAGGGACACCAAUAGCGAAGGCAGCUCGCUGGGACGGUACUGACGCUAAGGCGCGAAAGCGUGGGGAGCAAACAGG